rnacentral:rRNA from 1 species
GACAGAGGGUGCGAGCGUUGUUCGGAAUUACUGGGCGUAAAGCGUGCGUAGGCGGUUUCUUAAGUCUGCUGUGAAAGCCCCGGGCUCAACCUGGGAAUGGCGGUGGAUACUGAGGAGCCGGAGUACGGUAGAGGAAGGUGGAAUUCCCGGUGUAGCGGUGAAAUGCGUAGAGAUCGGGAGGAACAUCAGUGGCGAAGGCGGCCUUCUGGACCAGUACUGACGCUGAGGCACGAAAGCGUGGGGAGCAAACAGG